GGGAGUGCGAGUUUUUUAGUAUCUAGUAUCGUGAAUCUGUUGUGGCUAAAGUCCAGUUAAAGAGUGUUGUGCGGUUCGUUAGUAUUUUUGUGCGAGUAUCGUAGAAAUAGAAGCCGUUUGACGGCUUCUUAUUGCCAGUUUUUGAAAACGAGAUUCGAACCGACGCCUCUACCGACCUCUGGAUAUCGACCGCAUCGCCCAA